AUGCAGCCCAGGAUACAGUUGGCUUUCUGGGCUGUGAGGGCAUGUUGUUGGCUCAUGUUCAGCCUGCCAUCCACCAGUACCCCCAAGUCCUUUUCAGCAGGGUAGUGCUCUACCUUUACAUCACCUAGCUUUAACUGAUAGCAGGGGUUGCCACGACCCAGGUGCUAGACACUGCACUUAGAUUUGUUGAAUCUCAUGAGGUUCACCUGGGCAUGAGCCUGUCUCAGUCUCUUUGGAUCAAAUCCUGUCCCUCAGCCAUGUCAGCCACACCACAGAGCUUGUUAUCAUCCACAAACUUACUCAGAGUGCACUCGAUCCCACUGUUGAUGUUAUUGAUGAAGAUGUUAAAGAGCACUGGUGCCAGUACCGACCCCUGAGGGGCACCACUUGUCGCUCUCCAUCUGGACCUUAAACCAUUGACAACCACUUUCUGAGUACGAUCUCAACCAGUUCCUCGUCCAUCAAACAGUCUACCCAUCAAAUCCAUAUCUUUCCAGUUUGGGAGAGAAGGAUGUUGUUGGGUUAUGUGUCCAAGGCCUUAACUAAAGUCCAGACAGAUGACAUCAGUGGCUCUUCAGUUGUCUACUGACUUAGUUAUGCCAUCAUAGAAGGCCACUAGGUUGGUCAGGUAGGACCUGCUCUUGGUGAAGCCACAUUGGUUAUCCCAUAUCACCUCCUUCUCUUUCAUAUGCCUUGGUAUAGCUUCCAGGAAGAUCUUUUCCAUGAACUUCACUUCCUUUCAUGACAUCCUGCAUCUGGGGACAGAGAGCUCUUUUGCCAUAAGGAGGUCUGCAUUGCUUCACUUGCUGUGCACUUCAACAGUGCUUGAAUGUGUCUGCAGAAUUGUCCUGUGUGUGUGCUGUGGCAAAGCAGCAACUGCUCACCUUGUGGGCCACUGUUAAUGCAAGGAGAGGAGGAAGAAAGAGAGGAAAGGAGAAUCUCAGGUUAGCAAGCUAUAACGAUGUCAUUCCCAAGGGCCUUUUAUGUUUGAAUCCCACCUCAUUUUUCUCAGUGUGGUUGCAGGGAGGAAAUCUUUAUCAGCGUCUGAAGCAAGAUUUAGGUAAAUCCAGGAAACAAAAGCCUCACACAUCUAUUCGUGCCAUAGGUAAUAAACUAUUUGUAGUCCAGUUUCACCACUUGCAUCUUAUAACAUAUGGAAGCUUUUUACUUACUUCCCAGUUCAAAACACAAAUUUGGUUUUGCCUUCUAUUUUGUUGUACAGAAGUACAAAAGGCUGCUUGGUUGGUCUGAAAGUAGGCUUGAAACUCUGAAAGAAAUUAGUUUAGCUAAUCUCUGCAUGUAGUAAUUCUUUCUCUCAUACUAGCAAAUGUUAAGUUUUGUGCUAUUUUUUCCCUUCCUCUUCCCUACUAUUUUCAGUCCUUUCAUCUUAUUUUUAAUCUAUCCAGUAGCCCAGUCAUCACUCAUGAAUGGUAGAAGAGACAAGGGGAAAAAAGCAUAUAUAUAUUUUUAGACUAAAACCUGCUUUGAAAUAAGCACUUGUCUAAGGUACUACAGUAUAACUAUACUGAGUAUUGCAUCCUGCUCUCUCCUAGAGACAGCAUUCACCCAAGGCAUUGUGUAAUUCCUGUGCACUAAGAGAGGUGAUGACCUGUAACAACAUCUACCCCCAGUAUCUUUCUUUUCCUUUAGAGCACUGCUUACUGUGGCAGAAAGAAGCAAAGUGCAAGUGACAACGCCAGUUGGUUUUUAUUUUUUUUUUUUUCACCAAAAAUGUUGCGAUUUAAGAGUUUAAAGUGACACAGAAUAAAAGGUACGAGUCCAAGGAUGGAAUAAGAGAGAGCAGGGCUACGAGGAAAGACGGAGUCACUUGUUAUUUCUCUUUGAACGUGUCCUCAGCACAGUCUAGCUGGCUGCCUGUGGCCUGCUCCCGUGCCGUGCCACCACCUGCUUCACAGAGGACACAGCAGCAGUGCAGGCAGUGGUUGCUCCCUGUGGGCCAGGUACUGCUGUGUGUAUUAGAGGUGACACAGAGAGCUGCGGGCUGCUGGUGGCCGCUCACUGCUCACAAAGCCUCGGUAGCUGCUGAGGGAUCAAGAAGGCGCUGAAAUCCCCCACUGAAAAACGUGAACAGCUCAAGAGCCAUCCCAGAUUUCUUCAUGGCAUAGGUUUGCAGUCAUUAAUUUAAAAGCAAAAGGAAUAAUGGCCUAGAAGCGGACAGCAGCUAUUGUGAUGAAUCUUUCAAGCUUGCAUCAAAGGUCUAAGGAUAAAUCCCAGUUACAUAAAUAGAUGAGUUUUCUUUUUAUAUCCAGUGGCUACCAUGGAUUUUUUUCAUUAUUGUUCUCCCACAUCUGCUUAGCACCUGAAAACUUCAUUCACUUUGGUAAGAAAGGCAUUAUUGCCAUCUCCUUGUCAUCUUUGUUUUUCUUCUUACAUAAACAAUGAUGCUGUGCUUACACUAGAAAAAGACAGCUCGUUGUCCCGUUUGAUUUCAAACUACGUCUGUAAUGUGCCACAGUUCUGCGUGCAGAAUGUCUCCUGACAUGACCAGGAACCUCCUGCUUGGAACAGAAGCCUCCUCUUACCCAGCUGUGUGCUGCUCAUUGCCACUGGAGUGAUGUGGGAUACUGAGCACUGUAUACAUUUCUGCCUAGUUCAGUUCUUGUAUCUCUCAGUUUGGAUCAAGGGGAUACGGAGAUUUUUGGCAGUACAAACACAACAUAGGCUGCAAAAGUAGCAGCCGGCUUCCAGACAUCCACUACCUUCAUGUUACCCUGCAUAAAAGGCAAAGCUGUGCCAGGUGCCACUCUCUGAGCAUGUGCCCAGUUAGCCCAAAGCAAACAUGAUUGCCCUGGAGCCAAGCUGCUGUUGUUUGUUUUGAUGUGGGAUCUGCAAUGUGGACCAUGCUUUGCAGGAAACCAGAAGAUUCAGCGUAUGAGGUCAAACUCUUGACAAGUGUAGCAACAUCUGCAUCUAAAGGGCAGAGUAGAGCACUUUUAUCUCUGAGCAGCUGUGCUCACCAUUUGGAGUUUGCUCACUGCCUCUGCUUGGUGCACUGUUAGAUUUUUCUGGACUUGGAGCCAGGAGGAAAAGAAUUGGAUGAACAAGAAUGGCACUUGUGGGGAUAAAUCCAGUCCCUGGAGUGAGCACCCGAAUCAGAAGGUAGUGAAGAAAAAAGCCUCAACUUACUUCUGUCAAGAAAGCUGUCAGGACCAAGAGACAAUUAGAGCUGUAGCUGUUCUAUGUCUUUUUUAGCUGGCAUGCAAAUUCCUGUCAUGGUAAGUCUCAUCUGUGAUCUGGCAGGGGGUAAACGAGGCGUCGGGGGUAAACGAGGCGCCAACAAUAGUUGAGCUCGGCGGCUACUGCUGUUUGGUGUGGUGGAGUGUCCACAAUGCCAGCUGAGUAGAUGGUAGCAUCCUGAGCCCUGAGGGAAUGGUGCUGGUGUUGGGCUUGCUGAAAAGUCAAGGGUAAAAUGGAGCUGCAGGAUGCCUUGCCACAGUUACUGAGCAAGGAUGUUACAGAGUCAAAAAGAUAUAGCUCCUGUAAAAGCCAAAAUCCCUAUUUACUGUUUUUGUUUUCCGUAGCAGAAAAUUACAGCUUCUACAUCACUCUUUUCUCAAGAUCAGCAGCCAUCACUGCAAUCUUCCUGCCAUGAGCAAGGGUUGCUGGGUUGCUCUUGCUACAGUAUUGGGAAAUAAAGAGGAGGAGUAAUGUAAAUCAGGCUGUCUGUACCCUGUCUUGACUGGCGGCAUUACCUGCCACCAUCCUCACCAGGAGAGGAGGGACAGUCACCAAACUGUUCACAACCCACAGGGUUACUUUUAUUAAAAGAUAUGUUGGAGUGAAGAGGCAGUGGAGCCAUUUCAGCCCAUUUUCAAAACAGUGAGUGAAAAC